CGUCUUCCUUGGCCACUGGGCCCUAGAUGGUUGGCACCUUGUGCCCCUUCUCAGCUGGGAGAGUUCCUGCCCCACACACUCAAGGAUUCUGAGUUCUCCUUGGCUGCUAGACCUCUGGUCCCUCUGAAAGGCUCGAGAGAGAACUCCCCCAGGGCCUGCUGUCCUGGCAUCCGCUGGGAAAUAGGAUUCAAGGACCUGCUGUGGCUCAGCCUAGAAAAAAGGAGGGGAAGCAGGACCCACUCCUCGGCCCCCGGUCUGCUGUGCGCCUUUGGGAUUCCUUAUUUCUUAAACUGCUCUUCCCUCCCCACAGGGAACACAGCGGAAAGUAGAGAGGGGGCUCCUUGGACCAUUAUGUUCUCCCAACCAGUGCAGGCUUGCAAGUUGGGAGCAGCAGGGGAGGAGGGCCUGCUGAGAGACUCUGUAACCCCCUAAAAUGCAGGGCUGGGGACAGUUUCCAAAUUGGCCUGCAAAGAGGCUGCUGGGAGCCCUAGAUAUGAAUUCCCAGGCACUCAUUUCCUCCAGGGAACAGUGAAAUGUGCCAGCACCCCCCUCCCCACAACUAGGGAAAAGUAGCCUAACCCAGAGCAAGCCCCACCCCACGAUGUGGGGAAAGAUAGGAGAGUCUAGACCAAGCCCACUGGCUGGAGGUGCUCAGACAAAGGGAAAAGGACGGGGGAGUGCAGGGGCUCCUUAGCCCCACAGCCUGUCUGCCCCCAACCACCGCUCGCUGGUGGGCUGGGGGGGCUCCCUAGUAGGAUGAGGUCUUUCUUCCCCUCCAGACCCUCUGAGAUGUGGCUCAGGCCUGAGCCAUCAGCUCCUCAAAGGAACAUUUACAGGUAACAGAUGGGCAGGGCAGAGACCCUCAAAUGCUCGGGAGGGGGCAGUGUGUCCAUCCUUUACCAUCCCUCAGGAGGAAGAGGAGUCCUGCAGCGCACCCAGCCCCUACCCCAAGCCCAUCUCACUGCAUUCCCUGGCUGCCCGACCCCUCCUGCCCACCUGCUUACACUGUGUGCCCCUUGUGUGCCCAAGGGGCAGGGUGGAAGUGGCUGCAGGCAACACAGGGCCUCUCCCAAAAGAGAAUAGAGAGAACGCUCCCAAAAAGGGCCCUUGCUACCUGGAGUUGCUCCCUGGUUUAAACCCAAAGUAAAAUUCUAAGCAACCCCAACCAACUGAAUGGGCACCUCUUGGCCAAAUGCAUUCUAAAGUAAACCUGAAAAGCUCGUUGAGGCCAUGAUGACUGUGGGUGGCCGAACAUGCCUCAUAGGCACAGCUGACCAGCAUUCACAUUAAAACAGAGACCUUAGUCCGGUGUGGUGGCUCACACCUGUAAUCCCAAAACCUGGUGUGUCACGUGAGGUCAGGAGUUCGAGACUAGCCUGGCCACCGUGGCGAAACACCGUCUCUACUAAAAAUACAAAAUUAGCUGGGUGGGGUGGUGCAUGCCUGUUGUCCCAGCUACUCAGGAGGCUGAGGCAGGAGAAUCGCUUGAACCUGGGAGGUGGAGGGGAGGCUGCAGUGAGCUGAGAUCACGCCAUUGCACUCCAACCUGGGUGACAAGAGCAAAACUCUGUCUAAAAAUAA
rnacentral:lncRNA from 1 species